ensembl:lncRNA
UUGAAUAAUUCCUUUGCAGUGAUUUGGUAAAAGGUAUAAAACCAACAGGGCUUCCCUGGUGGCUCAGCAGUAAAGAAUCUGCUUGCAAGGCAGGAGACCUGGGUUUGGUCCCUGGGUUGGGAAGAUCCCCUGGAGGAGGGCAUUACAACCCACUCCAGUAUUCUUGCCUAGAGAAUCCCAUGGACAGAGGAGCCUGGCGGGCUGCAGUCCAUGGAGUUGCACAGAGUCGGACACGACUGAGCGACUGAGCAGCAGCAGCAGCAGUAUAAAAGCAACAAUAAAAAGAAAAGACUAAGAAAACUUGAGUAAGCCUUGGUAUUCAUUUGCAGGAUGACCAGAUUCUUGCCUUCUCUGAGGUUUUAUGCACUCCCCCUGCCUGCCAAUCUCACUAGGUAACUAAAGGCAAAGAGAAAGCCUUUGCUAAAAUUGCUGGAUGAGAGCAAAAAGAGAAAAAAGGGGGCCACAGGAGGAGCUGCCGGUAACCACUGGAGUUAAGAGAACAAGAAGAGAAGAGUGAAUUUGCAACAAAAAUAAUUAUAGAGGAUGUGAAACCCUGUUACUCAAAGAAUACUGAUUUAAAAUGGCGACCCCAGACUCAGGCAAGGCUUCAGAGUCUUUUGUCUAGAGCACCAACGCUGAUUUCUCUAAAGGAAUCCUGGUUAGGGAGCUCAUUAGCCAAUGGAGGUAACAAAAGAAAUGAUUUUACCUUCAGUUACACCAGCCAAAAAUAGAGGUAAUUAUUGGAGAAAGAGAUUUGACCUUUGGAUAACAAAAGGUAGAAGAAAAAAUUGCCUCUUUUCAGCUUAGGUUAUAGGAAGAAAACAUCACGAUACUUUAACUCUUGAGCCUCAAGCAUCGCCUCAGUUUGGAUGGUUGUAAAGGAUUUCCACCAGCACCCUGUUCAUUGCAGGUGAGGCUUUGAAAGUGUGCGCUUGUGGGCACUGCUUCCUGGGAGACAGCCUGCAAAUCUUACUGCCCAGAGUCACAGCCGUGAUCGGGGAGAGCUGGUCUGUCCUCCUGGAGAACUCGGAAGGGCUCCGCUGACCAGGGCAGGGACCACUCUGAACUCUGAAGGACCCCCUCAAGGGGCCACGGACUCAAGGUUUGGAGGGCGCUGGCACAACAAAGAAUCAGCAGGAAACCACUUUGUUUUCCACCCUGUAGAUCAUCUUUGAUGUGGCUAUGAAUUCUUUCCGGAAUGACUGGGGCACAAAGACGUGACUUCGAAGUGUAAGUCCUGCUCACCCAGCACCUGUUGAUGCCUGAUCCGUGAAGACACCAUCUCAGCAAAGUGGCACCUUGCUGGAAAUUGCAUUGGCGGUGGCUGUGAGUGCCGUAGGAGCCCAGCGUCUUUGGUUCCUUCUCUCCUGUGGACUCUCCAUCACUCUGAUUCCUGGCAUCCCUCUCCCCUUCCCCAGAAACAGACCAGCCAGCCAGAUUUUUCCAUCAUGGUUCUAAAAGUGUGAUCCUGAGUCAGGGCAUCAGCAUCACCUGGAAAUUUACUGGAAAUGCACAGCCUCCGGCCCCACACCAGGCCCAGUGAGUCGGAAACUCUGCGGUUGAGCCCAGCAAGCUGUGUUCUGCCCAGCCCUCCAGGUGACUCUAGUGCUCCCUGAAAUUUGAGAUGUGCCUCUUUAAA